CGAAAGCCUAGACAACACUGUGAAAGAACUUGCUGAACAACUGGAAUUUAUCAAAAACUCAGAUAUUCGGGAGAUGGGCUCUUGCUAUGCUGCUCAGGCUGGUCUUGAACUCCUGGACUCAAGUGAUCCUCCCGUCUCAGACUUCUGAAUAGCUGAGAUUAUAGAGGUGCCUUGGAUAGCAUUACCAAGUAUUUCCAGAUGUCUCUUGAGGCAGAGGAGAGGGUGAAUGCCUCCACCACAGAACCCAACAGCACUGUGGAGCAGUCAGCCCUCAUGAGAGACAGAGUAGAAGACGUGAUGAUGGAGCGAGAAUCCCAGUUCAAGGAAAAACAAGAGGAGCAGGCUCGCCUCCUUGAUGAACUGGCAGGCAAGCUGCAAAGCCUAGACCUUUCAGCUGCUGCCGAAAUGGUAAGGCUUGGGGGUGUGGCCUUACUGCUAUGGUGCCAAGC
rnacentral:sRNA from 1 species